rnacentral:rRNA from 1 species
GGAACUGCAUUCGAAACUGGCAGGCUAGAGUCUUGUAGAGGGGGGUAGAAUUCCAGGUGUAGCGGUGAAAUGCGUAGAGAUCUGGAGGAAUACCGGUGGCGAAGGCGGCCCCCUGGACAAAGACUGACGCUCAGGUGCGAAAGCGUGGGGAGCAAACAGGAUUAGAUACCCUGGUAGUCCACGCCGUAAACGAUGUCGAUUUGGAGGUUGUGCCCUUGAGGCGUGGCUUCCGGAGCUAACGCGUUAAAUCGACCGCCUGGGGAGUACGGCCGCAAGGUUAAAACUCAAAUGAAUUGACGGGGGCCCGCACAAGCGGUGGAGCAUGUGGUUUAAUUCGAUGCAACGCGAAGAACCUUACCUGGUCUUGACAUCCACAGAACUUGCCAGAGAUGGCUUGGUGCCUUCGGGAACUGUGAGACAGGUGCUGCAUGGCUGUCGUCAGCUCGUGUUGUGAAAUGUUGGGUUAAGUCCCGCAACGAGCGCAACCCUUAUCCUUUGUUGCCAGCGGUUAGGCCGGGAACUCAAAGGAGACUGCCAGUGAUAAACUGGAGGAAGGUGGGGAUGACGUCAAGUCAUCAUGGCCCUUACGACCAGGGCUACACACGUGCUACAAUGGCGCAUACAAAGAGAAGCGACCUCGCGAGAGCAAGCGGACCUCAUAAAGUGCGUCGUAGUCCGGAUUGGAGUCUGCAACUCGACUCCAUGAAGUCGGAAUCGCUAGUAAUCGUAGAUCAGAAUGCUACGGUGAAUACGUUCCCGGGCCUUGUACACACCGCCCGUCACACCAUGGGAGUGGGUUGCAAAAGAAGUAGGUAGCUUAACCUUCGGGAGGGCGCUUACCACUUUGUGAUUCAUGACUGGGGUGAAGUCGUAACAAGGUAACCGUAGGGGAACCUGCGGUUGGAUCACCUCCUUACCUUAAAGAA